rnacentral:tRNA from 1 species
CGGUGGGUAGCUCAGGUAGUAGAGCGUCAAACCUAGAACUUUGAAAGUCGCUGGUGCAAGUCCAGCCUUACCGGACA